rnacentral:rRNA from 1 species
GCGUAAUAGCUCACUGGUCGAGUGACUCUGCGCGGAAAAUGUAACGGGGCUAAACAUACCGCCGAAGCUAUGGCAGUCCUUAUGGACUGGGUAGGGGAGCGUUCCAAGCAGCAGUGAAGCCGUAUCGUGAGGAGCGGUGGAGCGCUUGGAAGUGAGAAUGCCGGUGUAAGUAGCGAAAAGACAAGUGAGAAUCUUGUCCACCGAAAGCCUAAGGUUUCCUGGGGAAGGCUCGUCCUCCCAGGGUUAGUCGGGACCUAAGCUGAGGCCGAAAGGCGUAGGCGAUGGACAACUGGUUGAUAUUCCAGUACCACCUCUGUUCCGCUUGAGCAAUGGCGUGACGCAGGAGGAUAGGGUGAGCGGCCUAUUGGAUGGCCGUCUAAGCAGUAAGUGUGGUGUGUAGGCAAAUCCGCACACCAAUAAGCACAAGCUGUGAUGGCGAGGGAAAUAUAAGUACCGAAGUCCCUGAUUUCACACUGCCAAGAAAAGCGUCUAGCGAGGAACAAGGUGCCCGUACCGCAAACCGACACAGGUAGGCGAGGAGAGAAUCCUAAGGUGCGCGGGAUAACUCUUGCUAAGGAACUCGGCAAAAUGGCCCCGUAACUUCGGGAGAAGGGGCGCCUCGGUAGGGUUUAUAGCCCGAGGAGGCCGCAGUGAAAAGGCCCAAGCGACUGUUUAGCAAAAACACAGGUCUCUGCGAAGCCGCAAGGCGAAGUAUAGGGGCUGACGCCUGCCCGGUGCUGGAAGGUUAAGGGGAUGAGUUAGCGCAAGCGAAGCUUUGAACCGAAGCCCCAGUAAACGGCGGCCGUAACUAUAACGGUCCUAAGGUAGCGAAAUUCCUUGUCGGGUAAGUUCCGACCCGCACGAAAGGCGUAACGACUUGGGCGCUGUCUCGGCAAGAGACCCGGUGAAAUCAUAAUACCUGUGAAGAUGCAGGUUACCCGCGACAAGACGGAAAGACCCCAUGGAGCUUUACUGUAGCCUGGUAUUGAAACUUUGUGCAUCAUGUACAGAAUAGGUGGGAAGCUGUGAAGCGAGGGCGCCAGCCUUCGUGGAGCUGUCGUUGG